GCACAGCCCAGCAGAUGGAAGGCAGGCCAGUUGGGUCUCAUUCAGGAGCAGCCAAGUUCUUGCUUUCAUCUGAGCUACUUAGACUCAGCUGUGAACAAGGACCUCCAGUGAGCCCCACGGCAUUUUUGACCUCUGCAAAAAAUUGCCUGGAAGCCCACAGAGCACAAGAUCUGUAAAAGCAGACCAUGAUGAGGUCUAGAGCAAGAGCACUACAGCUCAGUCACUCCCAUCUAGUCAGGAAAUGGGCAAAGAAGGGAAAAGUCAGAGUUGCUCACUUUCACCCAAAAAAGCAUCUAGACCACUAAAAGGCAUGGGAAAUACAGACAGACAGGAAAGAGUCGAAGAAGAAAUUGUAGUUUGUACUGAAGGACUAAAAAAUUCCUCUAUUAAAUAAUGUGGUUGUGUGUACAUUAAGACAGCAUUUAAGAGUCAA